UAAGAUUAUUAAAAUUCAAACAAAAAGACGACAUGUACUUUACAAUUAAUUGUGGUUUUCUGUAAAUAAAAUAAUACCGAGGAAAAAGGUUAACUCCAACAUUCUUUUGUUUUAGCAAAAGUAACUCCAACAUUUGACCUUGCAACUAAUGCAGUACUGAAAUAUGAAUUUUUCUGUGUAAUAGACAACGAUGUGGCAAUUUCAACAUAUCAUGAGCUUGCCCUGCUGAUUCCUGCUUAGUGCCAACCAUGCAUAUAUUAUUUUGACUGGAAAGAACGUCCCCGCUAGCCAGCUGGGUAUGACCAAACAAAGAUGUCAAUAUUAUAUUAUUGAAAAAAUGUAAUGUAAGUUAAAAACCGAAAUGACGGUGGACCAAAAUUUUGGAUUGACGUGACCUGCAGGAAGGUACUUGAUUAUCGUUCUUUUUUGGAGAUAGCAAUUUCACGAACAUUUUUCCCUUAACAGUCACUAAUUUAAAUUUAAAGAAAAGGGCCAAAUAUGUGUCUGAAUUAUUAAAAAUUGUGUAAUUAUGUACUGUGUCUGUAUUUAGGUACAAAAUUGUCCUUGACAUUAAUAAAAUGGUUCACUUAUGCUCUUCCCCACUAACAGACUACACAUCAUAUAUAAAUUUAUAUAAAAUAAAUAUUUUUUUAUUGAGUUGGAAAUUCAUGUUGGAGAGAAAGUAUUCUCCGUAAACCUACCAUCAUAUGUAGCUAAAUUAGUGUUCAAUUUAGAAGGAAGGACCUUCUUAAGCUCACAAAAGCAUUUGUUACUUCAAUUUAGAAUAGUAUUGCUCGAGUCCUCAUAAUUUAUGCUUGAAAAGAUGACUUCUAAUUUCAUGAAUUUGAUGGUUGUGAGAACUCUAAUAUAUACAACUUAUGCUUGAGAGCUUAUCGGUAGUGGUCUUUGCAAUAAUAUUCCAUAAGCUAUUGGCAGAUUGGUUGGAUCCAAAGACUUCCCUAUAAACUUGUUUGAAUCCAUACCUAAUGCUUCUUGGAUUGACCCACCAAAAAAGUCAAACACGACUAGAGUAAAAGUAUUUUUGUCUGUGUUGGGUCAUAUAGUGGCGAAGUUAGAGGAAAGGAAUUAGUAUUAUUGUUCGGUAUAAUGGAGAUGCAACAGUAAAGUUAGAUACUUUGGUGAGGAUGAAGAAUAAUGAACUAUUGGUUCUAGUUAGUGGAUUAACUAAAAAGAAGUGAUUUAACAGAUAGAUGAAUGGAUGUAUCGUGGAAAAAUGAUAUUUGUUCACGGUUGAUAGAGAUUGGGGAAGACAUUCUUUUUUCGAGAUGACUUUUUUACGGAGCAAAUUUCUUUUAUAACAGAAAAGACUCUUUUUUCCAACAUGAAUUUUCCAACCCAGCAUAAAAAGUUAUUUUAUAUGAGUAUAUAUGUGAUGUGGAGUCUGUUAGUCGGGAGGAGCAUAAGUGAACCACUUUAUUAACAUCAAAGACAAUUUUGUACCCAAAUACAAACGGAGGACAUAAUUGCUUUAUUUUCAAUAGUUCAGGGACAUAUUUGGUCCUCUUCCGUUAAAUUUGUAUUGCGUUGAUAAAAAAAUGCUAAAAUUUUUAGACAAAUUGUCUGAUCUUCUCUUUUUUUUAACAAAAACAAAAAAGAAAUAAAAGAGGUGAAUGUCCAGUGUUUAUUUCAGGCUCAACUUUUCUAUAAUACGUUAUAGGAAAAAAGAAAUACCAAGACAUAAAUUGAUAUUGUUGACUUAUACAAAAGCGGAUGCAGAAUUUAAAUUUGGUUGCUUCCACUUAGAAGAAGGGUUAGGUGCUAAGUGGCCCAAAUCAGUAAAGAAGAAGUGACAUCGUUCAGCACCUAACCCUUCUACUAAGUGGAGGCCACCAACAAGAAGUUCGAAAACUACCCUAAAAAGCCUUAUCGAGCCCACGUCUCAAUUCGGUAAAAGUCACAGAAUAAGAACAUCCCAUUCACUCAAGAGUCAAACUAUAUAAGAAUUACUCGAAUCCGACCUCAAAUGCCUUUCAAAACUCAAUAAUUUAGUCUAGGAAGUUUCUACCAUUUCCCUAUAAAUUUCCAACUUAAAUCCCUAAUUAGAUGAUGAAAAUAGUAAUAAAUUCAUGAAAUAUAGUCCGGUACGAGUUAGAAUCACUUACCCUACAAUUUCCUUGAAGAACCCUCGAAAAAUUGCCUCACACCGAGCUCUCAAAGUCCCAAAAUUAAAAGUGGGAUGAAACUCUCGAACUUGGCACUUUUCUGCCCAGCGAUUUCGCAUUUGUGGGCCUACAGUCGCACCUGCGAAAUUUCCCUCGUAGGUGCAGAAAUGACUUAAGAAGGCUGGAUUUGCAUCUGGAUAAAUGGGUUGCACCAUUGUGUGCGCGCCUGCAGAGAACUGUUCACUUCUGCGGUCAUCCUCGCAUCUGUGGGCAUCACAAUGCAAAAUUCUCCUUGCACAUGCAACCCCUGAUCAACCAUCCCAAUCUGCUUCUGAGCUUGCUCACACAUGCGAUCCCGUACCGGCGGCCUCCCACCAUAGGUGCGAAAACACAAAAAACUAGAAAAACAUCAACAAUUUACAUAAGUCCAAUUUCAUCACGUUAAGCAUCUGAAACACACCCGAGACCCCCGGACCUCAAUCAAACAUACCAACAAGUCCUACAAUACCAUACAAAUUUAGUCGAGCCCUCAAAUCACAUCAAACAACGCCAAAAACACGAAUCACCCUCCAGUCCAAACUUACUGAACUUUGAAACUUCAAACUUCCAUAACCAAUGUUGAAACCUAUCAAACCACAUCCGAUUAACCUCAAAUUUUUCACACAAGUCAUAUUCAUCAUUAUGGACCUACUUCAACUUCCAGAAUUGAAAUCCGACCCCGAAACUAAAAAGUUCAUUUCCGAUCAAAAUCUCCAAAAAUUUGACUUUUGUCAUUUCAAACCUAAAUCAGCUACAUACCUCCAAUUCAUAGUCCUGACAUGCCCCUAAGUCAAAAAUUACCCAACGGAGCUAAUAGAACCGACGAAACUCCAUUCCGGAGUCGUCUGCAUACAGUUCUAACUACGAUCAAAAUCCUAAGACCUAAGCUUCCAUUUCAAGGGCUAAGUGUCCAAAAUACUCUGAAACCAACGAUAAAGCCUCCCGGCAAGUAACAUAAGCAGAAACAGAUACGAGGGAAGCAGUAAAUAGAAGAUCGGGGCUAUUACUCUCAAAACGACCAGCCGGGACGUUAUAAAUUGGUAUUUCCAUAAUUUAGUGAAGCAACAAUUGGGUAAAGCAAUUAUAGAUGAAGUUCUUACAGGUUCUUCUCGGGUCUUCAGUAAAACAACGCGACAAGGAAGACACAACUAGGGAGGAGCUCUUUCAAGUAGAAGUGACAAGAAAAAUCCUAGCCAGAAUGGUUACUAAAGAGUGGGCUAAAAGUACGGGAAAAUUAAUUAAAAAGCAAAAGGUCUGCCACGUUUGAUUUUGGCGAAAAAUUGAAAAAUUUUACGCCACAACCCACCUAAGUCAUUUGCAAAAUAAUGUGUAUUGGCAACCAAAAAAACUUUAUUAUUGUCAAUAUUGUUUAGAUUUUAACUUUAUUGCGUUAAAAGUUCUAUUUUUUGGAACAACUAAAAUUAGUUGUUGGUGUAUUUAUUAAAAUUCGGCAACAAUACUACAAUUGUUGUUAGAAAGUUGUUGCCAUUAGGGGUGUACAUAGACCGGGUUGGUUCGGAUUAUACAAUUACCAAACCAAAUCAAUUAUGUCGGGUUAUUAAAUCUAAA
rnacentral:lncRNA from 1 species